UACGUAGGGUCCGAGCGUUGUCCGGAAUUAUUGGGCGUAAAGGGCUCGUAGGCGGUUUGUCGCGUCGGGGAGUGAAAACACGGGGCUUAACCCCGUGCCUGCUUCCGAUACGGGCAGACUAGAGGUAUGCAGGGGAGAACGAAUUCCUGGUGUAGCGGUGAAAUGCGCAGAUAUCAGGAGGAACACCGGUGGCGAAGGCGGUUCUCUGGGCAUUACCUGACGCUGAGGAGCGAAAGUGUGGGGAGCGAACAGG
rnacentral:rRNA from 1 species